CCCCUAGAUGUUCUGGGCCGCACGCGCGCUACACUGAACAGUUCAACAAGUCUUAACCUUGGCCGAUAGGUCUGGGUAAUCUUUGAACGCUGUUCGUGAUUGGGAUAGACCUUUGCAAUUAUGGGUCUUCAACGAGGAAUUCCUAGUAAACGCAAGUCAUCAGCUUGCAUUGAUUACGUCCCUGCCCUUUGUACACACCGCCCGUCGCACCUACCGAUUGAAUGGUCCGGUGAAAUCUCGGGACGGCGGCUUGGUCGCUUGCGUCCGACUGCUGAAACUUGAUUAAACCAUAUCAUUUAGAGGAAUGUGAAGUCGUAACA
rnacentral:rRNA from 1 species